rnacentral:snRNA from 1 species
AGCUUUGCCCAGUGGCAGUAUCGUAGCCAAUGAGGUUUAUCCGAGGCGCGAUUAUUGCUAAUUGAAAACUUUUGGCCGGGCGUGGUGGCUCAAGCCUGUAAUCCCAGCACUUUGGGAGGCCGAGACAGGU